rnacentral:tRNA from 2 species
GCGGGAGUGGUGUAACGGCAGCCACGCCAGCCUUAGGAGCUGGUGCCUUCGGGCGUGCGGGUUCGACUCCCGCCUCCCGCA